rnacentral:rRNA from 1 species
AGCAGCCGCGGUAAUUCCAGCUCCAAUAGCGUAUAUUAAAGUUGUUGCAGUUAAAAAGCUCGUAGUUGAAUUUCGGGAUCAGUGAGUUGGUCGUGCCUACGGUAUGCACUGGCUCUACUGGUUCCUCCUUCUUGAAGAACUGUAAUGUCAUUCAUUUGGUGUUGCAGGGAAACAGGACUGUUACUUUGAAAAAAUUAGAGUGUUUAAAGCAGGCAA